GGGCCCGUAGCCUAGCAAGGAUAGGGCGCUGGCCUCCGGAGCCAGUAUGCCUGGGUUCGAAUCCCAGCGGGCCCGCCA
rnacentral:tRNA from 1 species